UACUGUGGCAUCGAGGUCACCAACAAAUAUUGAAAAUGAUGGUCUGUUUGGAACAAUUUGAGGCAUAGAUUAAUGAAUGGGGUUUUGUUUCAUACACUCCAUGUUCACUUCUGAGUUACUAGAUAGGUAAAAUUGUCAGUAAUGCAUUUUUGUUU